rnacentral:rRNA from 1 species
UACGGAGGGUGCGAGCGUUGUCCGGAAUCACUGGGCGUAAAGGGCGCGUAGGCGGUCUGCUAAGCGUGCGGUGAAAGCCUGGGGCUCAACCCCAGGUCUGCCGUGCGAACUGGUGGACUAGAGCACUGUAGAGGCAGGUGGAAUUCCGGGUGUAGCGGUGGAAUGCGUAGAGAUCCGGAAGAACACCGGUGGCGAAGGCGGUUCUCUGGGCCUUACCUGACGCUGAGGAGCGAAGCGUGGGAGCGAACAGG